AUGCAGUGGUCACUUGUUUAUCCUUGGACUUUAUACUUAAGGCUUUCCUUAUAUGGUUUUGGAAAAUUCCUCCUCAUCCAUGUCCAUCAUUCCAUGCAUCAGUUUAAUCACAUGUAUGUCACACAUUAUUAAAGGUACAAAGAAAAUAGUUGGAAGAAUUCAGAGUGGGGGAGAAGAAAAACAAAAUGAAAACCAAAACCAAUCUGUUGAAAGUUCCAAAAUAUUUGUGUGUAUUUUAAUGUUCUCUUCUAUUAUUAGCCAAAUGAUUCCUUGGGAUUACUCAAACAUUUAAGUGCUUUGUUGAUUUCAAGGUUUACUAAAGACUUCUCUGAGCUUUUGGUAAAUAGAAAAUAACUAAAAAAGCCCAAAUCCUUUUACACUUGACUAUUAUAAACCACUUGGAGGCAUAUUGUCAUCCUGAAAUAAUUGCAUUAGGAAAUUAGAGUUUCUGAGUUUCACUCAGAGCUGUUAUAGUUCUCAAGACUCUUCUCACUCAAUACUGUACAGAAUUACAUCUGUCUGUAUGGGUAGUCUUCCACAAGAUUUCUUCUGACUUCAUCUUCCUCUGAUUUCAACUGUUAACAUUCAAUUACUACUUAAAAGGUUGAUUGAAGAAAUUGAUCUAAUGUGACCUUUACUGUAGUUAUCCAACAGGUUCACAAAGGGAAAGUAAAAAAUAACAAUAUUCUCAUCUUUGGAGAAAGACAAAAUAACAUGAUUAGACAAAUAGAAAAUUAAGGUCAAUGUAACAACUGUUGUAAAUAUUAGAAUAAAAAAUGUUAGAAAAAAAGUCCCUCAAAAAAAUAAUCAGUUACAAAAUUUCUAACAUUAGCAAAGUGAGAACUUAUCAAUAGAACUAAUUUGCUAUAACUUCAUAAAAAUAAUAAUUCAUAUGAAUAUAAAUAAUAACAUAAAUAAUAGUUCACAUAAAGAUAAAUAUUUAUUUUAUUUGUGUAUUUUUAUCAUAAAAUAUAAAUGUUGCGAGACCAUGACAUUUUAAAGGGAACUGAAUAAUACACUGGCAUGAAUCAAUAGCAGAACUAUGUGUUACUUCAAAAAAUACCAAAAGUUAAAGCUGUCUAAAACUAAAUAUUUUCUCCAAGCUUUUAUUAAUGAGACAAUAAACCUAAAAUACAUAUAAAAAGUUCUUUAGUCAUACAAAAAUGAAUGUGUUUAGAAGGGGAAAUUGUAUAUUGACAACAGAAAUUCACAUCCUUAUAGAAUCAUCCUUAUAUUCACAUCCUUACAGAUUGGAAAGACAUCAAAGUAGCCCAGUAACAAUACUAGUCCAACAGCUAAUAAUUAAAAUACAGGUUACAGGUUCUAUUACAAAAAAAAAAAAAAAAAAAAAAAGCACACAGAAAACAACAAUACCAUGAGCAGAUUUCAGAUUAACAAGUGAUUAUCAGUAGUGCUGACUGAGAAAGGUAUUCAAAGCAGCUUUCCAACAUCAUUAGUGCUUCCUGAAAGAAGAUAAAUCACAUUUAUUUUAUGACAAUGACCUAAUAAUUAAGCAGAUGAAUUAAGUAGAUGAAUUAUCAAACAAGGUUCUAAAUGUUAUUUUUGAAGUUAUAGCUUUCCAAAUUGAAUUCAUUACACUUUCCUUUAUAUCUUUCACAGAAACCAUUGAGGGAACAAGUUAUCAAUUGGAAGAAAUAUAGAAAUUACCAGAAGCACUUUGCUUACUUUCUAGCUGUUCUCUGAGCAGUGCACUAGAAUUUGUUCUGGAUCAGUUACAUGCUAUGAAAAUGAGUCGCCUAAACAGUCAUCUAUAAAAUCAUCCUACAUAGUUUAAAUUUAUGAGAUCUCUUAUGGACAAUAGAAUUUGAAUUUUCCAUUUACUUGUUUGUUGGUACUACUAAAGAGAAUUCUCAGUUCUUUAUAUUGUUGUUGAAUGGAAUAGAAGAAAGAAUAAAUUAAUAGGGUGAAAUUGUUAAGAAAAUUAAAACAUUUAUACUGUACAUUUAUGCUAUACUGUGUAUAUCAGGAAUGUUUCAGGGCAACAGAAACAAAAUAUCAAAAAUCUUAGAUCAGGAAAAGAAAGAAAGUAAAAGAAGCAGAAAUUUUAGGGAAAAAAAAAAAAAAAAACACAAAAAAAACAAAGCAGAUUGACAUUUAAUAUUUUUCUUGUGUCAGGAAAUAGAAGUGUACUGUGAAACUCAUUGUCUGAUGAUAUGUUUUGUAAGAAAUAUGCAUUGUUGAGUCCUAAAUGAAAACAUAUUGUCCAUUUUUCAGACCUUAUUUGGCUUUGCCUGAGACCACACUGAUAAAAGUUUUCAAGCUGAUUCUUUGUUCACCAGGUCAAGAGUCGACAUCAAUGUAUUUUGACUCUGGGAAUUUUAAAUUGGAUACUGCACUUGUAGAACCCAGAGAUGGAUUGGUAUUCACGUAAGAAUUAUUUUAAAACAUUUAAACUAAUUGCUGUUUUUGCUAGUCCUGAUUAAAGGUAUGAUAGAUGGGAGUUUUUGUAUGUGUUUGACUACCAAAAAAAAAAAAAAGUUGGAAUAAAACUGUAAAGUACAUUGCAAAAUUUCCUUGUUCCUUCAUUUCUCUCCCUCUUUCUCCUUUCUUAAAUUUCCAGUUAAUUUUGAGUUAGUAUUUUUAUUUGUUUGUUUGUAUUUUUUGUUUUGUUUUUACCCAACAGUUUCAAGUUCCUGGCCUCACUUCAGCAAACAGUAUUGGUCACUGAAAAAGUGAGAAAACUUGGGAACACUGGUCUCUCUCCCUCUCUCUCUCUCUCUCUCUAUGUAUAUAUAUGUAUAUAUUUGUCAAAUCAGGUGCAACUGAGCCUACAUUUUCACACUGCAGCUUCAAUUAUUGUGACAAACAACGUGACUGCAUUGAAACAAAACAAAAUAAAACAAAACAAAAACAAAAAGAGCAAGCUAUAUAUAUUUUGGGAGCUUGUAGUACCCUUGCAUCUCUUUCAGGAAAAAAACAUUCUGUUUAACUUUGUCAUUAUGCACACCUAAGAUUUAACCAGCUUUCAAAGAACUGUGUCAUAUCUUUACCCCAAGCCAACCAAAUCAAGUUUAAACCUGUCCAUUUCUUUUUGAACUUUGACCAACGCCCUAUCUUACUUUGUGCUUGUGCCUGACUGUGGGCCUGAUUUUGAAAAUAAAAGAGUCUCAGGCAAGCUGUUUCUAUAUUACUUAAACAAGUAGAGUUCAAACAUGAACCAGGCUUUCACUAUAUCCAAAACAGUUUUUCUGCAUUGGAGAGUUGUUUAUAGCACAAGCUGAGAAUGUAAAUGAGAAGGGAAAUUGGUCUCAGUCAUGAAUUCGAGUCUGGAUCCCAGGCCUCUCUUUCUUUCAUUUUGUGCCUUUUAUUUUAAAUAUUGGACAAAUAGAAACAGUGAGAAAAAUCAGAAACAUUAUGCAGCAAGUACCAGAACUGGACUGCAGCUUCUGCUGUACAAUGAAACUAAAUAAUAGUGCAGCAAUCUUGUGCCCUACAAAUAUUAGAAUGAAAAUACAAAUGCUUUACCACACAAUCUUGUUUAGGAUGUAAAAGCAAAACUGAAGUACAUGAAAAUAUUUGUCAAAGUCUUCGAAUUUAGGAAGAUCAGAAAGACAGUAAUAUUGAGAAUGUGAUGAAGCACAUUAUUUUGCCAAGUUCUGAUUACAGAAAGAAAGAAAAAACAUAUUAAAGAAUAAAUUUCAUCUUGUAGGGUCAAAAGUCAGGCUACUCUCCAGCUCUCUAUUAGUUCAGUCUUGAAAAGAUUUUAUGUGUCAAUUUUAUUCUUUUUGUCCCCCACCCCCCACCCCCACUCCCUUCCGAAGAGGAAAAGCAAGUCAUUGUGUUAAAAAAUAAUGGAUCAAAGGAAUGUCUAAUGUCUUCCACAGGGGUCAAGGGUUUGUACUGUAGUGACAUCACAGAAUCACAGAAUCACAGAAUUUCUAGGUUGGAAGAGACCUCAAGAUCAUCGAGUCCAACCUCUAACCUAACACUAACAGUCCCCACUAAACCAUAUCCCUAAGCUCUACAUCUAAACGUCUUUUGAAGACUUCCAGGGAUGGUGACUCCACCACCUCCCUGGGCAGCCUGUUCCAGUGCCUAACAACCCUUUCAGUAAAGAAGUUCAUAAUAAAGAACAAUGAGGUUGUAUGUGUCUUCUUAUCUCUCAUUUAUGAAUCCUUCUAGCCCUCAAAUAUGGGAUAUUAGGGAAACUACCAUUCUGCAUUAUCGUCACCUAAAUAGACUGUGCUGAAAACAAUAUAGUCAGAGGAAUCUUGGCAAAACUAUUUUCAUCACUGGCUGAAAAACAAACAAGCAAACAAAAAAACCACAAUCCACUAUAAAGAACAUUAGAACCUUAUACAUUAUAUAGAGAACAUUCCUGUAUACAACCUACUGACUUUGUGUUCACUACCUAGAAAUUAAAUAUAUUAUAAAAUAUAAUAAAGCCAAUAUUAUUUUGUUAUGCAUUAGUGUUUGCUAUACAUAAUUAACUUUUGAAAAGAAAGUCAUUCAAUUUUCUUUCUCAUUGUUUCUUAUAACAAAUAUUUCUGAUGUCACUUUCACAUGAAUACAUUCAGUUCAAGAAAAACUGAAGAUAAAUGUGGUUCCUCCCUUUCUGCCAGCUUAGGCAUACAAACUCGUGUUGAUUUGUUGGUUUUGUUGUUUAUUUUUGUUUGUUUGUUUAGUUUGAGCUAUGACAUACCCAUAAGAAAAUUUUUAUUCUUAUGCAGAUCUACAUUAACAGCAUUACCUGUGUUCUGAAUAACUCCUGACUAGUUACUGAAUCUUUUCAUAUGCUGAGAAAAUAAAGCUGAAUCAACAUAAUUAAGGACUUACUUCUCCAAAGGAAAAAAGUCACAUUAAAAGUAUGAUUCCUGUCACAGAGCAUGCUGCCGUUACAAAUACAGUAAGAAAGGCCCACUAAACCUUCUCCAGACCGUUUAUCCUUGGGGUACUCAGCCUCCUGACCUGGAAGUCUGGGACAACCAGGGGAUCAGGCCCAGUCAGCAUGGGUUCAUGAAAGGGUGAAUUGAUAUUCUGGGUGUGCACCAUCUUCCUUACCUGAAAUGCCAAUCUGCUUUCUGAGAAAAGAUAAAGGAAACCUGAAGGUUGGAAGAGAACCAUGACGUGAUUCAGUAUAUCUUCUUCUGCAGAACUACAAAAGAACUUAAGAUAGAUAUUCAGGAAAAAGUUGCUCUGUAUAACAGGUUCCUUUUAGCAUGUGUAUGAUAUAAUGAAAAAAUCACCCGAACGCUAUACUCUCGAUAUUCUCUAUUAGACACUCUUCAUAGGAAAAAAAUGUAACAUAGGUAUAAUACUAAUAUUAUGUAAUCAUAUAAAAAUAUUUAUUUUUUUAAAUAAAAGUUAUUUUAAAAA